rnacentral:lncRNA from 1 species
UUGCAGGAAACUUCCCCAGCAGAGGAGGAGCCACUGGACCCUCCACUUUCCUCACCCUUCCUGUCUGGAACGUACCAGGAUCAGAAUUUUUGGUCGGGAAGUAACAUCUGAAUCUGUACCUGCUGACGUCGGAACGAUGUUCUCCGUGCCCCCGAGCUGGGUUUACACCUUUAAAAAAAAAUUGGAGUUCCCGUUGUGGCGCAGUGGAAACGAAUCUGACUAGGAACCAUGAUGUUGCAGGUUCAAUCCCUGGCCUCACUCAGUGGGUUAAGGAUCCGGCAUUGCCGUGAGAGAUUAUCAAAUACGUACAAAAGUAGACAGAAAAAUGGAUCCCUCUGCACCUGUUCCCUAGCACGACACCUGCCCAACCACAGCCAGUCUGGCCCGAGCUGCAUGCCUACCCACCUGCUACCUGCUAAAGACAGUAGGGUUGCAGCCUCUCUUGCAUCCGAUGUCCGACCCCCUGGUGGCUGACGUUGGUCCGCGGGCUUGCUGCAGGCUUCCUUGCUGAGCCUCCAGUGGCAGACGGUGGUGUGUCUGUCCAUCGUCUUCAGCUUCUUUGUAGGUCUCUUGUUUACACUGAGACUGCUUCGGUCUGUUCAAAGUCGACUUUACAUAAGACUUGAGAAGCAGCUCGCCAAAGCGCUGGCUGCACAGAUUGAAGAGAAAUGCCGGCUCAUCGACAAGAUUUAUGCUGCUGUAAAGGAGAAUGCAGAGAUGGAGACAUCUUUAAAGAAGGCCAGCCUAGAGAGAGAGUCCUUAAACAUACCUGGCCUCACUGAGACAUUCAGAGAGAUGCUGAGGAUCAACGAGAUUCUGAUGGAGGAACUCAAUUCUCUGGCUCGAGAACUGGAGAAAGAGCGUGUCGAGCCGUCUAAACAAAAGCAGGAGAUGGUGGAGAUGGUGGAAGAGCUCGAGUUCCUGGAGGAGGUCAUGAGAACCACCACAUCACACGGGUCUCUCAAACCAUCCAGGAGGCCAAGCACCAAGCCCUGAGGGCCCCUUCCCCAGGAGGGGGCCUGGGGAGUAAAGCUCUGCUCUUCCCUCCCCACCACUCGGGCCUCCCAAGCUGCCAGAUGGCAUCCGUCCCCUCUGAUGGGUCCCCACCUGAAUGACACCGAGGCCUGUGGAUGCAGGAUGGCUCCUCCAACUUUACCUGCUGAGCACAGAAGUGAGUUCCUUGCCGGUCAUCUUCUCCCAGCUAAAUGGACUUCGAGUCUAAGACUUCUACAUUCACAGAACGCUGGGGUUCUCUCUCAUCAGUGGUGAAAGAAGUACGGUCCUGAAGAGACUUGGACUCAGUUUGACUCUUCCUUAAGCCACAUUGCUCAAAACAGUUUUGGUAACUAUUAUAGAUCAAACUCAUAGGUGAGCUUAUCAACACAGACUUUUAGUUGGCAAUAGUAAUAUUAUUUUUCUAGAGUUAAAAUCACAACAUUUGUAAGUCUGUGGAAGCAAAAUUUUUGCCCAUGUUUGUAUCAUUAAAAAACAAAACAAAAAAAAAAACUCUCUUGAAAUAGUUAAAUAAUAGGUUUAGAAAUAAAUUUUAUCAUUUAAGAUCGAUAAUCUAAUAUAACAAUGGUUACAUUUGAAAAAUUAAACUUGAUAAAUUCCAU